rnacentral:rRNA from 1 species
GAUGAACGCUAGCGGCAGGCUUAAUACAUGCAAGUCGAGGGGCAGCGGGAGUAGCAAUACUUGCCGGCGACCGGCGCACGGGUGCGUAACACGUAUGUAAUCUGCCCAUCACAGGAGGAUAGCCCGGAGAAAUUCGGAUUAAUACUCCAUAAUAAAUUGAGUGGCAUCACUUGAUUUUGAAAGUUCCGACGGUGAUGGAUGAACAUGCGACUGAUUAGUUAGUUGGUGAGGUAACGGCUCACCAAGACCACGAUCAGUAGGGGUACUGAGAGGUUAAACCCCCACACUGGUACUGAGACACGGACCAGACUCCUACGGGAGGCAGCAGUAAGGAAUAUUGGACAAUGGCCGCAAGGCUGAUCCAGCCAUGCCGCGUGCAGGAAGACGGACCUAUGGUUUGUAAACUGCUUUUGAACUAGAGAAAACCCCUUUACGUGUAAAGGGCUGAUAGUAUAGUUAGAAUAAGCAUCGGCUAACUUCGUGCCAGCCGCCGCCGUAAGAC